GCAAAGAAUUGCAAAGCGAACAACCACCAACUCAAAAUGAAUUUCCUGUUCACCCUUCUUAUCGUCGUCGCCCUGGUGGCCUGCUGCAUGGCCCAGUGGCGUUACAGGUCUUCCUAUAGCAACCCCGGAAUGUCCUAUCCUUACAACAACUGGAACUCACAGCCAGGGUGGAACAUGAACAGAGGUUAUUAUGGCCAGGCAUGGUACUGAAUGUCGAACGAAAAAAUGGACUGAACAAUGGACCGGACUUUGAAAUGGACAUGAUUCCAGCUUCUUUUCUUCAGUUUUCUACUCACUUUUAUUAACUUGCAUCUCGAGAUUCUAAUGCCAGUUAUUUCUUUAUUGCAUCUUUUUAUGUAAUUCUUUAAAGCAAAAUAAAAUAAAUGUUUUUGUUUUUCUGAAA